UCUGAGUGUGGUGGCAUGAGCCUGUAAUCUAGCUACUCGGAGGCCAGGGUACGGUAUUUCAUGGGAGUUUUGGUAUAUGGGUGUUCAUGUUCAUGGGCGUCCACGCUAAGCAUGACUUCAAUAUGGAUGAGCUGUUGGAGAGCGGAUUGUCCAGGUCUUAUAAGGAGGAGUGAACCUGCUCAAGAGAAGACCCAACAGACAAAAGUCCCUGCGUGCAGCAGUAGUGGGAUAGAGUCUGUGAAUUGUGUCCGUGUGACAAGUAUGAAAGUUACAAUCUAA
rfam:Schistosoma rodhaini strain Burundi genome assembly, scaffold: SROB_scaffold0003387